rnacentral:tRNA from 1 species
CCAUAACUAGCUCAGUCGGUAGGUAGAGCAUGAGACUCUUAAUCUCAGGGUCAUGGGUUUGAGCACCAUUUUGGG